ensembl:snoRNA U3 Small nucleolar RNA U3
AAGACUCUACUUUCAGGGAUCAUUUCUUUAGUUUGGAACUAGAGGAUUGUGUUUCUACAGAGGUUGGUCUUGCUGUCCAUGAUGAUGAAUGAAGAUGUUUCCUUCAGAGCAGGAAGCUGGUGAGAAGAUGAGAAUCUUCUUCACUGAUGAAGACUGUUCAGUGUUUCUGGAUGUGACACUGAAGGAGGAAACAUUGUCUGAGUGGA